UCAAAGUACGAUCGGAUUCCAGGGCGCUGCCAUACCGUCGGAUGGUUGUCCGUAUUGUUUUGCUCGAAUUUGCGGUGAAAACGGGUUCAGUUCCGAGCGAAAAGUGUUGUCGCGGGUUGCGUCGGUUGUGGGCCGUGUUCUCCGGCUAUUUUCGGGACCCGUCGCGUGGCGCCGGGUUGUGAAAUUCGUGCUAAAUUUUUAAUGGUUUUACUCGGCCAGUGUGACGACGACAGUGUUCAAACGGGUCGUUUUGGGUUUUCUAUUAUUCGUUGAUGGUUGGGUAAGGUAGCGCAUUUGGUGCCGUCUCUUUUACAUGUGCCUUCUCUCGCUCUGACCAGUGUGUUUAUGGUUGACGGAGUUGAUCUUUCUCUCUCUCCUCUUAGCCUAGUGUGUGAUCCUGUUUUUAUCCAUAAUUCCAUCAGUUGGUUGCAAGAAUAACAAAAACACCAGCACCAGAAAACAACAAAAGCGUAAAUAAACAUCAACAUCAGCAGAAGCCGUGAAGAAACAGAGAAGGAGCGGAGAAGCAAAGCAGAGAAACAACACAAACACAGAAGAAGAAAAGUUAAAAUUGAAGAGAGAGCGCGAGAGCGAAGAGUAAAGUCGAUUCAAACGAGAGUGUGAGAUUUUGUGUAGAAAAAGAUAAGGCCGAAACACCGAUAGUGUGUGUCAUGCAACGGGAAGUUUGCGCAACGUGAAAAAGAUAGCAAAACAAAAGGUUUUCUGCUGUUUUUGAAAGAGCUUGUGUGUAUGAGUGGAAUGAAAUCCGUUGGGCUCGCUGGAUGCAGGCGGCGAUAUUAUUGAGGGAAAAGUAGUGUGUGCGCUCAUCAAACCAGUGGAAAACGGUACGGUUGAGUGAAUCGCGCAAAGCGUUCGAAUGUGACAACAACCACAGGAAAAGAAACAGAAGAAAGCGCCUGACACCUGGCGGUUUUCCGCUUGGGAGCAAAGUGUGCGAGGAAGGAAAAUUCACCGGAGAGUUACUUUAAGAGAUAAAAAAGAACAGCUCCAUUCCGUGAACGACUGCUCCAAAUUGUGGGCCCAAAUGCCCCCCGUUUUCGGCAUACCAGUGGGGCUCCGGUCUUGCAGUACCUGAGCCGGCAAUCAGCAGCCUUGUCAAAUAGUGGGCCGGAUUGUUCCUGGCCCCGGAAGCAUCCAGGGAGCCGGACGUAAUGUCCGGGAGCGAAAAACGAAUGUUCGAUCGAGAAACGCUCCGUUCCAUCAUCCAGCAAUGGAACACGGUCCGGCUGGAUAUCUUCGCCCUAUCGGAACCCAACGAGAACCUGGAGUUCCAUGGGGUGAUGCGGUUUUACUUUCAGGACGAAGGACAGAAGGUCGCUACCAAAUGCAUCCGGGUGGCGUCCGAUGCAACCGUGUCCGAUGUUAUCG